AAAUAUGCAUUGAUUUUUGUACAUAUGACACCUCUUUUUCAUUUUUAUUUUUAUUUUUUUUGGACGAUGUUUUGCUCUGUCGCCCCAGCUGGAGUGCAGUGGCGUGAUAUCUGCUCACUGCAAGCUCUGCCUCCCGGAUUCACACCAUUCUCCUGCCUCCCCAGAAGAGUGGCUACUAGAGUGGGAGGAGGAAAAGCAGAAGGAGAAAGAGUUGAAGAUAGGUGAGGCUGUGGUCCCAGUGCUGAAUUCUGCCAAGCAGUGACUUGAUUCAUGAACACUCACUGGAUGCUGACCCUGUUGCUCUUCUGAGUGCUGGGGUAGAGGGGAGGAGAGAUGGAGCACAGUUCUUGCUUUUAUGAGCUUAUGUUCUAGGAAGUUCAAGUAUUUUUUCAGGUAGUAUGAAAUAGCAGGAAGAGGAAGCAGGCUAAAGGGACACAGAGUGAUUGGGGGCUAUUUUAAGUAGAAUGAUAAGGAAGAGCCUGUCUAGAGAGCUAUUUGAACAGUGACCUGACUGAAGGGACAACAGAAAGCAUUGCUGACAUUACAGGUAGCAGGAUGACUGCCAAGACAGA
rnacentral:lncRNA from 1 species